UACGGAGGGAGCUAGCGUUGUUCGGAUAUACUGGGCGUAAAGCGCACGUAGCGGCGCCGUAAGUCAGGGGUGAAAGUCCUGGAGCUCAACUCCAGAACUAGCCUUUGAUACUGGAGAUCUCGAGUCCGGAAGAGGUGAGUGGAACUCCGAGUGUAGAGGUGAAAUUCGUAGAUAUUCGGAAGAACACCAGUGGCGAAGGCGGCUCACUGGUCCGGUACUGGACGCUGACGGUGCGAAAGCGUGGGGAGCAAAGCAGGG
rnacentral:rRNA from 1 species